GGAAGGGUGGUCGAGAGGUUAGACAAUACCGUGAAAAGGUAUGUACGAUGGUUCGAAUCCAUCCCCGUCCU
rnacentral:tRNA from 1 species